CUUCCAUCUUCACUGGGUCCUUCAUUUUUUCCUAUGAUUUAUUUUAAAGAGAAUAGCUAAUAUACUGGAUCAUUACACAGUACCAUAAGGAAAUAAGUGGAUGCUCUUCAGGUAAGGAGGACGUACAGGCACAUGGGGAUUUAAAGCAGUACUGAGAACGUAAUUAAUAAAUUGCCUGGCUUGCAGAAGCCUCAGACUGUGUCUGAUAAUAAGGAUCUCCAUUACAGAGGAUGUCAAAGGAGAAAAGUGGCAGGAGGUGUCUUUCAGUGGCACAUCACUGACUCCAGUCUUCCCUCCUAACCGUGGAGUGUUAAGGAAACUCGUGGGACACGUUCAGUUUAGUUCAGAUUUAG
rnacentral:lncRNA from 1 species